CUCUUGGUGCGCAAUUUGGUUGGUGAAUUUAUUUGUCAUCUUUAGCUACCUUUAGUUGCUGCCCAUACUAGUUGGUUCUGUCACUUGAUCUAAUUCAAUCCAGUAUAUCCAUAUCAGUGA